rnacentral:miRNA from 1 species
UGUGUUAAUCGUUUGUUCUCA